rnacentral:rRNA from 1 species
UACGUAGGGUGCGAGCGUUGUCCGGAAUUACUGGGCGUAAAGAGCUCGUAGGUGGUUUGUCGCGUUGUUCGUGAAAUCUCACGGCUUAACUGUGAGCGUGCGGGCGAUACGGGCAGACUAGAGUACUGCAGGGGAGACUGGAAUUCCUGGUGUAGCGGUGAAAAUGCGCAGAUAUCAGGAGGAACACCGGUGGCGAAGGCGGGUCUCUGGGCCGAUACUGACGCUGAGGAGCGAAAGCGUGGGGAGCGAACAGG